CUUCCUGGUAUACGCACUGCAGCGGUGAGCAAGUCCCGGAGCUGGCGCAUUAAGUCAUCACGUCAGGCAUCAGUAUUAUGUGACCAGACAUCAGAUGACGCGGCCGGCUCUCGCCACAUGAGGUGACGCCAUGCGGAGUGGGCCAGGUGUCCUCUGAUCAAUUCACUAAGUGAUUGUCUGGAGACAUGACACCCAGCGCGUGUUACCCUUGGCAAUGAACAUGAGACCCAGCGCAUGAAACCCUUGGCAACGAGAAUUACCCCCUGGCAGCAAACAUGACACCCAGUGCAUGAAACCCCUGACAACAAGCAUUACCCUCUGGCAACGAGCAUGACACCCAGAGCAUGAAAACCCCUGGCAACAAGCAUGGAACCAAGAGCAUGAAACCCCUGGCAAUAAGCAGGUCAGUGUGCUGCUCUCCCUAUAUGUGACCACAAGGUGGCUUCAGUGAGUCCUUCAGGAAAGAGGGUCCCUUGCACACCCCGGAGAUGUUAGGGGACGUGACCACCCAGCAACACAGGUCCUUGAGCUAACUAACUUUAUGUCCUGUUCAGAUUUCUUCACUUAACACAAAUGACCAAAUAGAAAUACCAUUAUACAAGGAUCCCAUAGCAAAUAUGGGGUUCUAUGUACUACUGUAAGCCUUGGAGAGAUAAAGUGGACGGAGAUAAAGUACCAACCUAACUGUAAUGUUACAGGCUGUUUUUGAAAAAUGACAGAGGCUGAUUGGAAGGUUGUUUAUCUCCAUCCACUUUAUCUCUCUCCAAGGCUUAGUACAUACUGUAGACCCCAUUGUCUGUCCUACAGCACCCGCUCUGCUCUCCUGAACCUGCAUGAAUGGUGUAGGUAAUGGAAGACCUUCCAGUUGUGCCGUGGUCAUGGGCAUGCCCUCACCAUCGUGCCCUGUAUAUGCUGCACCACCUGUAACAUUGGUAGUACUACCACUGCCAAUACAUAUAGCCGGUUUACUCUGUCACUGCUGAACUUUCAAUAAAAUAAAUCUCAAUUCAGAAUGGUUGUAUUUUACCUUUA